AUCGGGAAGCUCUCUCUAUGUCGUCGAUUGUCACGAUUCACGAAGCCCAACGUUGUCUUGAAUUAAUCAUUAGAACCGCAAAACAGAGCGAAUCUCGGUGGUGACUCGGCGGCAGAUCGAUGAGUCUUCUGUAGCGAGUUUCUUCAACGCCAUCGCUUUCAUGCAAGUCUUCAUCGCCGGAUCUUCGCACUAGCUACGACGAUUAAAUUAGAACAGAACCAUAACCGUAAGA